ensembl:lncRNA
CGGGAGCCCCGGCCGCCGGCGCUUGACGCACGCGGAGCCGCGGAGGCCGCGACCCCGGCCUCCUGGAACCCGAGAGCGGCUAGCAAGACGAGCCGGGUCAGGUCCCCGGGGGAGGCCGGGCGCCACCCGACCCGCAGGAACGCGGGUGGCUGUAAGGGAGGGACCGGGGAUGCGGGCACAUCCUUCCGUUGCCGCUCUGCCUCUGCACCCCCUGGCGUGGCGCCGGCCGGUCCCAUUUCAUCCUCCCCACGAACCUCCAAAGCGGUGCUACCAUGAGCCACGUUCACAAACGAAAUCCUCCAGCCUCACGGAAGAUAUGAACUUGCCCAAGCCGCCUCGGCUGGGAAGGUGGAGUGAAGCGACUUGAAUACAGGACUUUUCUUCUUCUUUUACUUUAUUUCGCGCGGCUCCCGAUUCCUAGGGCGCCAAGGAAGGUAAUUCGCGCCGCUUCGCGCCGGCUGUCGCGAUGCUUCCCGGAGCAGUCCAGGGUGCGCCUUCUGGGGAGCGCUGGGGCGGAGGCAUCGGCUGCGCUGAGUGAUGCAGAACUAAAGUGGAAAUGACCCAGUGAGGAAGGAAAGUGAGCACUGCCUGCCCUGGCCACACAAUUAAAACAUAUACGCCGGCCAAAGACAGGAGAAAAGGCCUGUUUCCUGGCAGCCUGUGGCUUCUUGGUUUGUGGCAGGUCUGCUGAAGACCUGGACAAGGCAGGAGAAAAGGAAAUUAACAGGAUGAGGAGGAAGGACCAGCUGCCUCCAGAAGUGCACACGGAAAUUCAUGUAGAUGCUCCGAUCAGUACAGAGGCUAGACUUUGAACUAGGACUUUGAAGAGUGAGAGAAAGGGGAUCCCAAAGGAAAGGAGGCUUAUUUGGCAGGUGAAAGCUGAUCAGGGCCAUGUCCACAAAGUUCUCCACAAUGCCUCACUGGUGUAAACUCUCACUGAUACACACUGACUGAUAGAGCUUUCUCAACUAAGUGGAGUUUGUGGCCCUUCAGUCAAGGCCAGGGCUAAAGUUUACGUCCAUGCUACUUUGAACUAAGGUUGGGCUAAACAAAUGGAAAGGACAUCUAUGAUUAUAAUCACUAGGGAAGCCCCCUGACUCUUAACAUGCUUCAUAAUCAGACUUGACUGUGCCCAGCUGAUUGAAAGGGCAGGAUGGUCUCUCUGGCUCAGCCUUCUCAUUGUUUUCUGCUUGCUUUCUCUUUGGUACCUUAGGUCUGAAUCUGAGAGUGGCCUUGUUACUCCUCUUUUCUUUUUUCCUUUUUAUCCAGAUCACUCGUUCACCAUUCAUUUACUAGCUAUUUGAUCCCCUUCUGUGUGUCAGACAUGUGUUAGAUGCUGGAGUUACAAGUGAGCAAGGAGUCUUUGCUUUCAUGGAGCCUGCAGUCUCGUGAGGAACACCAACCAUGAGUGUGAAAGGGAAACCCAUAUUCAGGUGCUGAGUGAUGGCUGAAGGAUGAGGCAGCCAACCCUGAGAGAUGGGACACCUUAUCUAAGCUCUCACAGAUGGCUGAUGACAAAGUUGAAACUAAAGAGAUCAUUUGGGAAUAGAAACCUGGCCUCCUGCCAUCAUCUCCUUCGAAGGCACCACACUCACAGUCUUUUCCUCUAAUUCUUUCUCAUCGAGUUGCACGUGCUUAGUACUUACCCUUUUCUCAAAACUGAGCUAUUCCCAUCUCAGUAGAAUUCACAUUUGUCACUAAAGCUAGAUGUCUGUCCUAUCUCUAAGAAUUGAUGUGCUGUGCUUUGAGAACUAAACCCAAUACAAACCUAAGUAACAAAGCUACUAUCUAAAAUAUUGAUUCAAUACAUGAAUCCAUCAAGGGAUCAACCAUUAAUUAAUACUAGGUUCUGUGAGGGCAGGACAUGUCUUCACAUACAGGAUGGCCCCAUCCCUAAAGGAAUCUGUGGACAAGCUGAUGGUACAGGGUUAAAGAGGGAAGAAAGUAGGCAUUUAUUGAGUACUUAUUGUGUGGUAUGCAGUGUACUACCUGCUUGUCCUUACAGUAUCUCAGAUAAUCGUCACAACAAUCUAGGAGGUUGGAGUGACUUCUUAAUGUAUGGAUGGAAUGCCCUCCCCCAAUCCCUGUCUGUUCAGGCGCAACGUAGCAUAAUAGCUAAAAGCCUUGUAACAGGACUCAAACUUCUUGAAUUCAUAUCCAGGCAAUGCUAACUACUUUUGGUAUGACUGAGCAAUAUAGAUUCUCUGUACUUCAGUUAUUAAAUUGGAAUGAUAAGGAUGGUGCCAAUUUUAUGCUUUGUUGUAAGGAUAAGAUACAUGGGAAGUACUUGCCACAGUGUCUAGUACAGAGUAAGCACUAGAUAAAAAUUAGGAAUUGUUGUUAUUAUCCAGCUCCAAUCCCUUUUCAUCUGCAAAGCCUUCCCAGAUCCCCCAUCAGAAUUGAUCUCUUUUGCUUCUGUAGUCUGACAUUACUGUGGGCAUGUCUUAGCACAUUCUUAUGUGUACGUGGUUAUCUGUCUGGCUCAGAAAACACAUUUAAUAAAUGUCGAUGGUUGGAUGAAUGGAUGUUUCUGUCUCCUAGAUCUCUCUCCUGUGCUCAUAGAAGGAAGAUAGUAUUGUGUUUCUUGCUAUAAGGCAGACAAAACACCCAGAUGUUCUAAAUAAAAUACAACAAAUAUACUUUGAAUGCAUGGCCAAACUCUUGUGUAAAUUAGGAAAAUCCUCAUGGACACACACACUCAUACAAAGAGGGACUGGAAUUCAGAGAGGUAAACUGCUACUGAAACUCUGCUGCUUUGAGAAAUCUGACUAUCUUGUGACUUUGGGGUUUGGUUUCAGGGACUUUAUGGAGGACAGAAGACAAGGCAUAGUGUUCUCAAAAGAUGGUAAGCUGGAGUGAGAUGUCUGCAUAAAAGUGAGACUCACGAGGGUAGACUAACGGAAGAAAAAACAAAACCCUAUCUAUAUGAAGAAAAAUAAAAGAAAUGUCUGUCUUGGCCUGUCAUAAGAUGUUAAAAUCACAGACUUCCCCAUCACAGAUUUUGCAUUUAAAUUUGUAUUACCUGCAUGGUCUGGGAACUAUGGCUGAAAAUUAGUUUCGGUUGGUCUCAGAUUGGUAACAUCCCAGAGCACCUGGCAUCUUCACUGGAGGGAUAGUCACUAAGGUCUCACUGGAGUCUAACAGAUAAAGCCCCACUGAACAUGAGAUCACAAUCUAAAAUUACAAAUCACACUAGGAAACAAGCUACCAUGAGUGAAAACUAGUAGAAACCAUAGAACUAGACAUUAUAACAGUUAUCAUAUAUGAAAUAUAAAUUGCUUAAAAUGUUUAAAGAAAUAAAGGGGGAAACAAAGACAUAAAAAUGAAUAAAUAAAAUCUAAAAGAUCAGGAAGAAUUGAGAAAGAACCAAAUACUACUUCUGGAAAUAAUACAUAAUUAUUAAAGUUAGAAAUAUGGCAAAUACAUAAAAGUAGCAUAGAUACAGAUAAAAGGAGAGUUAGGGAACUGGAAGACAGAUCUGAAGAAAUUGCUCAGGAUACAGGAGAAAAAAGGGAGAGCUAGAGAGACAAAGAAAUGUGAAACAUAAGAUGUUAAAGGAGUCAGGGAGGAAAAAAAUAGAAUAUGAGAAAGGCAGCAUUUAGAUAAAAUGGCUAAAGUUUCUAGAGUUCAGUUCAGUCGCUCGGUCAUGUCCAACUCUUUGUGACCCCAUGGACUGCAGCAUGCCAGGCCUCCCUGUCCAUCACCAACUCCCGGAGUUUACUUAAGCUCAUGUCCAUUGAGUCAGUGAUGCCAUCCAACUGUCUUAUCCUCUGUUGUCCCCUUCUCCUCUCUCCUUCAAUCUUUCCCAGCAUCAGGGUCUUUUCAAAUGAGUUAGUUCUUUGCAUCAGGUGGCCAAAGUAUUGGAGUUUCAGCUUCAACAUCAGUCCUUCUAAUGAAGGACUUUCAGAGUUAAGGGCAGGAAAUAGGACUUGCUUAAUUUUUGAAUCUAAAGCACUUUGGCAAGGGCCUGACACAUAGUAGAUGUCCAGUAAGUGUUGAGCUGAAUUGACACAUGUGCUGUGGAACUUGCUUGUCCUUUACUUCAUACACCUAUUUAUUUUAAAAAUAUUCACUAAAGAUACAGUUGUGAACAAAACAGACAAAAUCCUUGUCUUCACAGAACUUAUGCUCUGGAUGAAGAAAACAAACACGUUAAGAAAUUAAUAUUCAAGAUACUUUGAUACUGUAAGAAAUGUUAUGAAGAAAGUGAAAGGGUCAUUUAAUAGAGAGACUGGGAAUAACUUCAUUGACAAAGUGAGAGCUCAGUGAUAAGAAGUCAAGUGAAGACAUUACAGACAAGUGAAUGAUACAGUGAGUGCAAAGGCCCUGAGUGAGAAAUAACUUGGCAUUUUUGAGGAAGAGAAAGAAGUCGACGUGUCUAGAGCUGACGCAAAAAGUGGUAUGAGGUGAUCUGAUGGGCAGGAGCAACAGCAUUUUUCCCCCUUGAGAGCAGCACAAAGUCACUGGAGGGAUUCAAGCACAGGAACAUGUAUUCUGCCACCCUGCAUACUGGGUGGUAAUAGAUUGUAGGGGUAGCAAGAAUAGAUUAGGGAUCCCAGUUAGUGAUUUCAGUCAUUCAGGCAAGAGAUGACAGCAGCUUGGACUAGGAUGAUGGCCAUGAGUAUGGAGAAAAGUGGAGGGACUCAGAUAUAUUUUGGAAGUAGAAACAGGGUAUUUGGCUGGUGGCUCAGACAGUAAAGCGUCUGCCUACAAUGCAGGAGACCCAGGUUCAAUCCCUGGGUCGGGAAGAUCUCCUGGAGAAGGAAAUGGCAGCCCACUUCAGUAUUCUUGACUGGAAAAUCCCAUGGAUGGAGGAACCUGGUAGGCUACAGUCCGUGGGGUUGCAAAGAGUCGGACAGGACUGAGCAACUUCACUUUCUUUCACUUUCUUUUAAAAGGUGAAGGAAAGGGGAGGUGGGAUUAAGUGUGAUUCUUACGUUUUUGGAUUGAGCGGCUGGGUGAAUAGCCAUGCCAUUUUCCAGACAGAGAAGAGUAGAAGAGUAGUACGUGGGUGGGAACAUGAAACAGGAGUUCUUUUUUGUGCAUGUUAAGCUUGAGAUUCCUGUCAGAUGUCUGAGCAGACAGCUGUAAAUGAGAAUAUGGAGGAGCUCAGGAAAAUGAGCCCCAAGCCAAGGAGUGUUCCUAUUUUGCAGCGUAUGUUUCCUUCGAGAUCCUCCUAUAGGGUAGGUAUGGAUGGGGGUACGCAUGGGGGACUGACCACUUUUAGCGACAGACUCUGUGGGAGCAGGGUCAAUGGAACUCUGGAGUUUAGGAGACUCUUUUGGGCCCAUUGCUUAACUCAGCAUGGGAGCUUACAGUCUUCCAGGCCCAUGUAACCCUGAUGAUUUUAAUAGCUGCCGUAGUUUUAAGGCGAUGUUAUUUUUGAGGGAUGUCAAAAGUCUGAGUUCAGAAACGACUCAGUGACAAACUCAGGCAGUUCUUGU